UACGUAGGGGGCGAGCGUUGUCCGGAAUUAUUGGGCGUAAAGAGCUCGUAGGCGGCUUAGUAAGUCGGCGGUGAAAUACCGAGGCUCAACCUCGGCACUGCCGUCGAUACGGGCGGACUUGAGUGUUGCAGGGGAGACUGGAAUUCCUGGUGUAGCGGUGAAAUGCGCAGAUAUCAGGAGGAACACCGGUGGCGAAGGCGGUUCUCUGGGCAUGAUCUGACGCUGAGGAGCGAAAGUGUGGGGAGCGAACAGG
rnacentral:rRNA from 1 species